rnacentral:misc_RNA from 1 species
ACCGAAGCCUAUAACCGCCUCCGGGCGUGAUGGGUGGCUGGUAUCCUCCUUCUGAGAGGUGUAUGGUGCAGCUUGGGCCGGCCCUUUUGGGUCGCGAAUUCCCAGCGCUGCGGCGGACCACCUCUUGGGCAACUCAGUGGGGGCAAUUGGAUGGCUCGUAGGCACCUUUGGCGGCUUUGGCCCUGAAGGUGGCUCGGGCUGGGUUGAUUGGGCUUCGGUCCACGUCCCGACCUUUUAACUAGCUCUGAUACCCCUUCAUUGAGGGUAUGCCGGGUGGUCGUUCAUCCUUUGGGGUGGAUGAUCUCGCGGGAAAGAUAGUUACCUGGUUGAUUCUGCCAGUAGUCAUAUGCUUGUCUCAA